GAUGAAGAACGUAGCGAAAUGCGAUAAGUAGUGUGAAUUGCAGAAUUCAGUGAAUCAUCGAAUCUUUGAACGCACAUUGCGCCCCUUGGUAUUCCAUGGGGCAUGCCUGUUCGAGCGUCAUUUGUACCUUCAAGCUUUGCUUGGUGUUGGGUGUUUGUCCUGAGGGACUCGCCUUAAAGUAAUUGGCAGCCAGUGUUUGGUUUUGAAGCGCAGCACAAGUCGCGAUUCAAAGCUAUACGCCCGCUUCCACAAGCCUUUUUCACUUUUGACCUCGGAUCAGGUAGGGAUACCCGCUGAACUUAAGCACAUCAAUAAGCGGAGGA
rnacentral:misc_RNA from 1 species